rnacentral:lncRNA from 1 species
UUUUUUGGGCACAGGCAUGGAGGGAAUGGUUGGGGCAAGGUUUUGAUUUCACCCUUGCUGGCUCCCACGCCCCUAAUUAGGAUUGAGCUCUUUGUAGGUAAAUAACAUUUAAGUGGAACUAUUUCUGACCACUGGGGUCCUGCACUCCGCUGUGCAGUGCCCUUUCAUUAGGAAUUAGCCGGCCUGAUGCUGAAUAAACACAUUGUGUGUGUUGCAAGAGCUCUGAUGUGGUCUCUGUUAAUUACUCUCUUUAACCUAUUGCAGUGAUGUGCUGCUUAACCACACACACCACAGGACUGCUUGGGAAGGGGAAGAUUAUGGUGGAUGCACAGAGAAAUUCUUAAAGGCAGAGACAGCAUAAAGACAUGCUAUGAAGUCUGUUUGAACUGGUGUCAGAUACGAUAAUGAGUGGGUAGGAAUAAUAAUAAAUGUGUAGCGCUUCAGGAAUACUUCACAUUCACUAAGUGCUGUGCCAACAUCAGGCAAUUAAUUAUACAACCAGGACCUUCUCUCUCACCAACACCCUCUUGACACCACCAAAGACACCAGCCUGGCUUGCUCAUUUGCUCUUUUUUCGGCACUGCCCUUGGCGGUGAAUUGUACUUGGAACCUCUCUCUCCCCUUCACCCUCAAAUUACACUCCUGUUCAUGACAACCUUUUCAAAGGGUGUCUAGAUGCAUACUUAAUGCUUUAUUGCUGAGCUUUCCUCAGAAGUGCCUAAGGGUUUACAUCAUUGGAACGAUAAAUUUAAGUUCAACAUCCUCCUCUCCUUUAGGUCCCUUUUCUGGACCUCCAUCUUCUGGAAGAUUCACAGGGAGCCUGCCAACUGCCACCAAUGAAGUGUGUCCUCACUGAUCCAGGGAUAGCUGUGCAUUAGCAAUCACUGUCCUAUAUUCAUCACCAGACAUGUUAAUGAGGAAGAGGAGGAAGAGGAGGAAGAGGAGGAGCGGGAGGAGGAGGAAGAGAAUGGUUGUGGUGGAGCUUGGCUGCCCACAUGGGAAUGAGUUAUGUAAGCAGUUUUUCCUCACUGGUUUUGAAGAGAAUUAAUAUGG